UACGGGGGGGGCAAGCGUUGUUCGGAAUUACUGGGCGUAAAGGGCUCGUAGGCGGCCAACUAAGUCGGAUGUGAAAUCCCCAGGCUUAACCUGGGAGCUGCAUCCGAUACUGGAUGGCUUGAAUCCGGGAGAGGGAUGCAGAAUUCCAGGUGUAGCGGUGAAAAUGCGUAGAUAUCUGGAGGAAUACCGGUGGCGAAGGCGGCAUCCUGGACCGGCAUUGACGCUGAUGAGCGAAAGCUAGGGGAGCAAACGGG
rnacentral:rRNA from 1 species